rnacentral:rRNA from 1 species
CCUACGGGAGGCAGCAGUAAGGAAUAUUGGUCAAUGGACGCAAGUCUGAACCAGCCAUGCCGCGUGCAGGAUGACGGCCCUCUGGGUUGUAAACUGCUUUUAUACGGGAAGAAACCUCUGGUUGCGAUCAGAGCUGACGGUACCGUAAGAAUAAGGACCGGCUAACUUCGUGCCAGCAGCCGCGGUAAUACGAAGGGUCCAAGCGUUAUCCGGAUUUAUUGGGUUUAAAGGGUGCGUAGGCGGCUUAUUAAGUCAGUGGUGAAAGACUUCAGCUUAACUGAAGAACUGCCAUUGAUACUGAUGAGCUUGAAUAUACUUGAGGUGGGCGGAAUGUGUCAUGUAGCGGUGAAAUGCUUAGAUAUGACACAGAACACCGAUUGCGAAGGCAGCUCGCUAAAGUAUGAUUGACGCUGAUGCACGAAAGCGUGGGGAGCAAACAGGAUUAGAUACCCUGGUAGUCCACGCCCUAAACGUUGAUAACUCGAUGUGUGCGAUAUACAGUACGCGUCCAAGCGAAAGCAUUAAGUUAUCCACCUGGGAAGUACGGUCGCAAGAUUGAAACUCAAAGGAAUUGACGGNNGAGAGNGCGAGGACGACACGAGGGAGAGG